rnacentral:rRNA from 1 species
AGGGUUCGAUUCUGGCUCAGGAUGAAUGCUGGCGGCAUGCCUAAUACAUGCAAGUCGAGCGGUAACAGGACUAGCUUGCUAGUUGCUGACGAGCGGCGGACGGCUGAGUAACGCAUGGGAACGCACCCAAACUGAGGGAUAACUAGUCGAAAGAUUAGCUAAUACCGCAUGUGAUCUUCGGAUUAAAGCCUUCGGGCGGUUUGGGAGCGGCCUGUGUACGAUUAGAUAGUUGGUGAGGUAAUGGCUCACCAAGUCGACGAUCGUUAGAUGGUUUGAGAGGAUGAUCAUCCAGACUGGAACUGAGACACGGCCCAUACUCCUACGGGAGGCAGCAGUAGGGAAUUUUGCGCAAUGGGCGAAAGCCUGACGCAAGCAACGCCGCGUGAUUGAAUAAGCCCUUCGGGGUGUAAAGAUCUGUCAGUGGGGACGAAACUUGACGGUACCCACAGAGGAAGCAUCGGCUAACUCCGUGCCAGCAGCCGC